GAUGAACGCUGGCGGCGUGCCUAAUACAUACAAGUCGAGCGAACGGACGAGAAGCUUGCUUCUCUGAUGUUAGCGGCGGACGGGUGAGUAACACGUGGAUAACCUACCUAUAAGACUGGGAUAACUUCGGGAAACCGGAGCUAAUACCGGAUAAUAUUUUGAACCGCAUGGUUCAAAAGUGAAAGACGGUCUUGCUGUCACUUAUAGAUGGAUCCGCGCUGCAUUAGCUAGUUGGUAAGGUAACGGCUUACCAAGGCAACGAUGCAUAGCCGACCUGAGAGGGUGAUCGGCCACACUGGAACUGAGACACGGUCCAGACUCCUACGGGAGGCAGCAGUAGGGAAUCUUCCGCAAUGGGCGAAAGCCUGACGGAGCAACGCCGCGUGAGUGAUGAAGGUCUUCGGAUCGUAAAACUCUGUUAUUAGGGAAGAACAUAUGUGUAAGUAACUGUGCACAUCUUGACGGUACCUAAUCAGAAAGCCACGGCUAACUACGUGCCAGCAGCCGCGGUAAUACGUAGGUGGCAAGCGUUAUCCGGAAUUAUUGGGCGUAAAGCGCGCGUAGGCGGUUUUUUAAGUCUGAUGUGAAAGCCCACGGCUCAACCGUGGAGGGUCAUUGGAAACUGGAAAACUUGAGUGCAGAAGAGGAAAGUGGAAUUCCAUGUGUAGCGGUGAAAUGCGCAGAGAUAUGGAGGAACACCAGUGGCGAAGGCGACUUUCUGGUCUGUAACUGACGCUGAUGUGCGAAAGCGUGGGGAUCAAACAGGAUUAGAUACCCUGGUAGUCCACGCCGUAAACGAUGAGUGCUAAGUGUUAGGGGGUUUCCGCCCCUUAGUGCUGCAGCUAACGCAUUAAGCACUCCGCCUGGGGAGUACGACCGCAAGGUUGAAACUCAAAGGAAUUAACGGGGACCCGCACAAGCGGUGGAGCAUGUGGUUUAAUUCGAAGCAACGCGAAGAACCUUACCAAAUCUUGACAUCCUUUGACAACUCUAGAGAUAGAGCUUUCCCCUUCGGGGGACAAAGUGACAGGUGGUGCAUGGUUGUCGUCAGCUCGUGUCGUGAGAUGUUGGGUUAAGUCCCGCAACGAGCGCAACCCUUAAGCUUAGUUGCCAUCAUUAAGUUGGGCACUCUAAGUUGACUGCCGGUGACAAACCGGAGGAAGGUGGGGAUGACGUCAAAUCAUCAUGCCCCUUAUGAUUUGGGCUACACACGUGCUACAAUGGACAAUACAAAGGGCAGCGAAACCGCGAGGUCAAGCAAAUCCCAUAAAGUUGUUCUCAGUUCGGAUUGUAGUCUGCAACUCGACUACAUGAAGCUGGAAUCGCUAGUAAUCGUAGAUCAGCAUGCUACGGUGAAUACGUUCCCGGGUCU
rnacentral:rRNA from 1 species